GGACUACUCGGGUUUCUAAUCCCGUUUGAUCCCCACGCUUUCGUGCAUGAGCGUCAAUCUCCGCGUAGCCGGCUGCCUUCGCAAUCGGUGUUCCAUGUCAUAUCUAAGCAUUUCACCGCUACAUGACAUAUUCCGCCGGCCUCCACGAUAUUCAAGAUAAAUAGUAUCAACGGCAGUUUCCAAGUUAAGCCCGGAGAUUUCACCACUGACUUAUUUACCCGCCUGCGCACCCUUUAAACCCAGUGAAUCCGGAUAACGCUUGCACCCUCCGUAUUACCGCGGCUGCUGGCAC
rnacentral:rRNA from 1 species